rnacentral:misc_RNA from 1 species
UUGUGGAAGGAGGACGCCGAAGGUGGGGCUGAUGACUGGGGUGGAGUCGUAACAAGGUAGCCGUACCGGAAGGUGCGGCUGGAUCACCUCCUAACAGGGAGACAUAAACUGAUUAUGAUGUCUGAUUUAUAAAUUUAGGCCGUAAUCCUGUCACCUUAGGUCGAUCGGUACCUCAGAUUAUUAACUGUGAAAUUGAGAAAUCACUUAUCAUUAGUCCUUUAAUUUCAGUUCCUAAACUUGUCUAGGUCACACCCAACAAACUUUCUCCUGGGCUAUUAGCUCAGGCGGUUAGAGCGCACCCCUGAUAAGGGUGAGGUCCCUGGUUCAAGUCCAGGAUGGCCCAUUCGUUGUUGGGGGUAUAGCUCAGUUGGUAGAGCGCCUGCUUUGCAAGCAGGAUGUCAGCGGUUCGAGUCCGCUUACCCCCACUGAUCAACUACCUGAUAACUCAAUUGGAGAUUGUCAUUUGUUUAAAGUGACUUAGAUAUUGUUCAUCUGAAGGAACCUAGCUUCCUAUCACUCCUUAAUUAAUUUUAGGCUGAUAAGACGCUGGCUCACUGAGUAUUCGUAAGAAUAUCAGUUGAUUCAGCAGAACCUUGACAACUGCAUAGGAAAGUCUAGAAAAAUAAAGCAUCUCAUAGAUGCAUAGGAAUUUUAUAUUCAAUUUAUUGUAUAUAAUGCCUAUGAUUGAUUCUUGAGUUAGAGCAAAAAAUAGUCUAUUGCUUAAUUCUUUUAAUUAAUUGAUUAAUUAAAUUUAGCAAGUUAAAUAGAUUAAUGGUCAAGCUACAA